UAAUGUAAAAGGACUUACAAACAAUGAGAGAAGAUGGCCUCAUCAGCAGAGGAUGAUGCCAUAACCGAAGUGGUAGAUGUUGAGAUCCCUAAGCAAGCGGUACAGGAACCAACUGUGGUUGCUGUAGAUGAUGAUAUAGCUCCCAUAGAUGUGUCUGUAUCAAGCCCCUCUGACCAUACAACUGAAAAUAUGAAAAUGUAGAUGCUGAAGAGGAAAAUCAAGAUGGAGGCUUUGGAAGAGGAGAGGGACUUUCUCCGCAAAACUGUUAACCAGUUGUAUGGGCAAGGAGGUCAGACUCCCUAGGACCAAGUCCUGCCUCUUCUGUGGCCACACCUACAAAAAGAAGGGAAGCAUGUCCGCUGCUUUCCACAGCGUGGGAGUGGAUCGCAACACUGUGGUGAUGAGUGCCCCUCUGGUAGAGAUCAUGCUUGUGGUGCCGGAGUUCCUUCAUUCACAGGCAGUGUUUGACAGCUCUAAAGAGAGGCUCAACCAAUAUGCAAGGAGGAUCACCAAAAAUGUAACAGCAGAGGUGAGCUAUGCUAUAAAAUAGAAUGAGGCGUAAUGAACUGCUCCCUAUUACUUAUAAGUUCAAAUAAACACUGAUUAUGCACACUCAUUCACACACCCACACGUGCCCGCACACAUACACACACCGGGUAGAGAUAAUGUAAGAGUAAGAUAGUGUGUCCCUGCUCUAAAACAAUCAUAAAGAUGUUAGUCUGUUUUCUGAGAUGUGGUGCAAGGAACUGCUCCAUAUCCCCUAUAAACUUGAUUUUGCACACAUUUAUGUUUAAAUGUUAAGGAUACAGCAUGUUCUGGCUGUAAAUUCGAAACAAAAUAAACAAAAUAUUGUGAGUGGUUGACACUUGCUCCAGAUGUACAGUGAAGAGAGCCAUCUGUACAUGUUCCACAAAGAUAAUCACAAAAUUAAAUCAAAUUCUAAAAUCCAAAAGGAGCGAAUGAUUUUAGAAUGGCGGAGCGCCGUUCCUGAAUGCAUAUAGUGGAAACACUGCAAAAUACAUCUACAUGCCAACCCCUAACUAUAGAAUUCCCAAGUACUGUACUGGGUAUCUGCCAUAGUUGUAACAUAGUAACUACAUAGUGAUUACAUGAGUAAUUCACAAUGUGCUUCACUUUACAUUAAAUUGCUUGUUCCUGAGCAGAAACAUUGUAGUUACGAUACUUUUCUUUAUAACUUUGUAAUAAGUUACAUGUUGAUAUCCUGUGAAAUAUGUAAUUGCAUUGAAAGUAAAUUGUAAUUACACUUUUAGGUGCUGUAACAACAUUUAUUCUACAUU